rnacentral:rRNA from 1 species
AACGAACGCUGGCGGCAUGCCUAACACAUGCAAGUCGAACGAGACCUUCGGGUCUAGUGGCGCACGGGUGCGUAACGCGUGGGAACCUGCCUUUAGGUUCGGAAUAACUCAGAGAAAUUUGAGCUAAUACCGGAUGAUGUCUUCGGACCAAAGAUUUAUCGCCUUUAGAUGGGCCCGCGUUGGAUUAGCUAGUUGGUGGGGUAAAGGCCUACCAAGGCGACGAUCCAUAGCUGGUCUGAGAGGAUGAUCAGCCACACUGGGACUGAGACACGGCCCAGACUCCUACGGGAGGCAGCAGUGGGGAAUAUUGGACAAUGGGCGAAAGCCUGAUCCACCAAUGCCGCGUGAGUGAUGAAGGCCUUAGGGUUGUAAAGCUCUUUUACCCGAGAUGAUAAUGACAGUAUCGGGAGAAUAAGCUCCGGCUAACUCCGU